UAGUCAUGAGUUUGAUCCUGGCUCAGGAUUAGAUACCCUGGUAGUCAUGAGUUUUUGUUGUGCUACAUGAGCGGCGGACGGUGUGAGUAACACGUGGUUAACCUACCCACAAGAUCGGGAUAACUCCGGGAAACCGGGGCUAAUACCGAAUAAUCCUUUGAACCGCAUGGUUCAGAGGUAAAAGACGGUUUCGGCUGUCACUUGUGGAUGGACCCGCGGCGCAUUAGCUAGUUGGUGAGGUAACGGCUCACCAAGGCGACGAUGCGUAGCCGACCUGAGAGGGUGAUCGGCCACACUGGGACUGAGACACGGCCCAGACUCCUACGGGAGGCAGCAGUAGGGAAUCUUCCGCAAUGGACGAAAGUCUGACGGAGCAACGCCGCGUGAGUGAUGAAGGUUUUCGGAUCGUAAAGCUCUGUUGUUAGGGAAGAACAAGUACCAGAGUAACUGCUGGUACCUUGACGGUACCUAACCAGAAAGCCCCGGCUAACUACGUGCCAGCAGCCGCGGUAAUACGUAGGGGGCAAGCGUUGUCCGGAAUUAUUGGGCGUAAAGCGCGCGCAGGCGGUUCCUUAAGUCUGAUGUGAAAGGCCACGGCUCAACCGUGGAAGGCCAUUGGAAACUGGGGAACUUGAGUGCAGAAGAGGAGAGUGGAAUUCCAAGUGUAUCGGUGCAAUGCGUAGAUUUUUGUAGCCUCGUCAUCGUGAGUUUGAUCCUGGCUCAGGAUUAGAUACCCUGGUAGUCCUGAGUUU
rnacentral:rRNA from 1 species